CNAUAAAUAUUUAUACAGUACGAAAGGGCCUAUAAUUAUAAUUGUAUUCUCAUAUUAGCAAAUAAUGCAUUAGAAUUAGAAUCUAAAUAACCUCUUAUUAUUUUAAUAAAUUUUUUAAUU
rnacentral:rRNA from 1 species